UACGUAGGGCGCAAGCGUUGUCCGGAAUUAUUGGGCGUAAAGAGCUCGUAGGCGGUUUGUCGCGUCUGCUGUGAAAACCUAAGGCUCAACCUUGGGCUUGCAGUGGGUACGGGCAGACUAGAGUGCGGUAGGGGUGACUGGAAUUCCUGGUGUAGCGGUGGAAUGCGCAGAUAUCAGGAGGAACACCGAUGGCGAAGGCAGGUCACUGGGCCCGCAA
rnacentral:rRNA from 1 species